AUGUUCUUCAGACUUCUCUGCUGUGGCCCUUUUUUUCUGGGAAGCAGGUUCCCUGGACACUAAGGUCACCCAGAGUCCUGGACACCUGGUCAAAGGGAAAGGACAGAAAGCAAAGAUGGAUUGUGUCCCUAUAAAAGGACAUAGUUAUGUUUAUUGGUAUCAUCGAAAGCUGGAAGAAGAGUUCAAGUUUUUGGCUUACUUACAGAACAACGAUAUUAUUGAUAAAAUAGAAACGUUCGAUCGUCAGUUUUCAGCUCAAUGUCCCAACGACUCACCCUGCACCCUGGAAAUCAAGUCUGCUGAGCCAGGGGACUCAGCCCUGUAUAUGUGUGCCAGCAGCAAAACCACAGUGCUGAAUGUUAGCUUUUCUUAGAACACAAACACAUCAUGGACAAAGCUCAGGAAAUAACAUGGUGUAUUAGGGAGGUAGGAACUAACAGAAACGCUGUGUGGAGGAGCAUAAACCAGAAGGAAAAAUUUGUAGAGAGCAGCUCCAGGUGAGCAGAAAGGGAUGUUUAAAACAGCUGAUGGGGAAAAAAACCCAAGAAAGGGGAAGGAAGGUGUAAAAGGGGCUGAGGUUCCCCAUUUUGCAAGAUAUCUAGCAAAGGAAAGAAGGA